rnacentral:tRNA from 2 species
GGGGGUGUAGCUCAGUGGUAGAGCACAGGCUUAGCAUGUGUGAGGCCCUGGGUUGAAUCCCUAGCACCACCC